GCGCCCGACGCAAACGGCGUAGUCGCGCACGCUACCUGCGCGAGGGCUUACGGAGUCCCCGCACCUGCCUUCUUACGUAGAGUGCGUAGCGGCUGCUUUUUUUUUCCUCUCCCCUUCUCUCUCACGUACGCCUUUUCCGUAGCUGAGGGGGCCUUUUGUACGCCAGCUCCGCGGCCUCCGCGCGGCCCUCACGCGACUCCCGGAGCCGGGGCUUUGAGGAGCAGCCGCACGGAAAUCCCUGCCCGGGCCCCCCCGUGUCUGGAAGGUGUCGCGCGAGUGCCAUGAUCCAGGACGAUCCGCGGUGGACGCCAGUACGAAUCGAAGCCGAAAUAACAAAUGCGCGUCGGUCGCGGUAGAAAUAGGGACAACCCUUGUCAAAGCAUUGUUCCUACUCCUCAAAUGAACGCGGUCAAAUACAAACACGGUGAGGAACAACCCCUGCAAAAGCAUUGUUCCUACUCCUCAAAUGAACACAAUCGCAUUAAUGCGGUCAAAUACAAACGCGGCGAGGGCCAGCCCUUGUCAAAGCAUUGUGUCUACUCCUAAAAUUAAUAUGAUAAAAUUAACAUGAUCAAAUACAAAUACGGUGAGGGCCAAUCCUUGCGAAAGCAUUGUUCUUACUCGUAAAAUUAACCUGAUCGCAUUAACACGAUCAAAUACAAAUACGGUGAGGGCCAACUCUUGCAAAAGUAUUGUUCCUACUCCUAAAAUGAACACGAUCACAUUAAUGCGGUCAAAUACAAAUGCAGUGAGGGCCAGCCCUUGUCCAAGCAUUGUUUCUACUCCUAAAAGUAAUAUGAUAAAAUUAACACGAUCAGAGACAAAUACAGUGAAGACCAACCCUUGCAAAAGCAUUGUUCCUACUCCUAAAAUGAGCACGAUCACAUUAACACGAUCAAAUACAAAUACGGUGAGGGCCAGCCCUUGUCAAAGCUACUCCUAAAAUUAACACAAUCAAAUACAGCGAUCGAUCAAGUCAUAAACCUGUGAAAAGGUGGUACGUAGGUCUACCAUUGACGCUGUGAAAAAUAUAGUGGUGAGAUUUAUCAGUUAUAUCAAUACUAAAGGGUAUUUGUCUCUAAUUGCUUCAGCCUUAUAAGCAAAAGUUGCAAGAUGGUUUACUAAAUAUUAAUCUGUUUGCUGGAGGAGCCGUAUUCAUUUCUCUCUGCUUGGGAAAUCUGUCAGUUUCUGCAAGAACAGGGAUCGAUACUUUCUCCUUAUGUCAUUGUAUAAAGGACUUUCUAAAACGUAAUGGAUAGUAUCUUCCAAAACUCCUAGGCAAGCUGGAGACAACUGGACAAAGGUGCUGUCAUAGGAGCACCUGAAACUAAAUCAGAAACUUAAUUGGGACAUGCUGCUAUAUGAACACAGUCAAAUCUAAUGGGUCAAUGUUGCCUGGGGGGUGGGGGAGAAUAAGGGUGUACCCGUUUCGUUUCCACUUCUGAUUCGAAUUGGAAAGAAGAAUGAGACUCAGACACGUUCCUGGAAACUUCAGCUUUCAAAGAAGAUAAAUGCGUGUGUGUUGGGGGGGGGGGGGGAACCCAUAAGUUAACUUCUGAGUAUGCCAAUGUGGCCUGUCUUGUCUGUUUCUGUCUCCUGGAUGGUUAGAUCCUCAAGGUCGGGACAGUCUAUUUUUAAGUAUUUCAUAGGUUUUAUAUGGUGAUGAGCACAUCGUUGGAAUCUAACCAAUUAUACGUAAAAGCAGCACACAAAUCUACAGCGGUCAUGCAGACAGAGAGAGAGGACCAGUGAAAUACUUUUGGGAGAUUUCAGUUGCUUACCACAGAUGUUUAUUAAGGCAACAAAUGUAGAAUUAUUCUGUAAAAAUGUACAUGCCUGAAGUUUACAGCAGUACAAGAAGAUUUUUUGCUAUGUGGUUCUUAGGAGUAAACAAACUCAAAUGUUGUUUGCGAGAAGUCCUUGGAAAGAGCCAAAUAUCACAAAUAAGACAUUGCUGAAUGUGUUCGGUGACCCUAACACAUUGAUGAACACAUUCAGUGAUGAUUUAAAAAUAGGGUUCCAAAGUAGCAAUUUCAUUUUUUUUUAAUUAAAUGGGUUUCUUCUGUUCCAUUGGAAUCAACUGUCCUGUGGUGAAUGCAUUGAGAGGAACAGGAAAAAGUUAGGACCAGAAUGACAGCAAGAGCCAGAAGAUCCAAGAAUGAUGGAUCUUCCCCCCUUAAAUGGGGGGUGGGAAGUGGCUUGUAAAAAUCAGAAAAAUUUGGGAACGUAGACAAAUAAUUAGGAAGUAACGUUAGUAUCUGUGUAGUGUUUCAUAAUAUUUGAGUCAUAUAGACAUUAACUUGUGGUACUCCUGUGAAGUAGAUAAAUAUUACCAUCCUUGUUUUACAGUUGUGGAAAUAGAAAUAAAAAGGGGACCUUGGAAGGAGUUCACUUGUAGCUAAGAUGGGCACUCAGGAGUUUCUGGCUCCCGGCUUUAUACUCAGAUAAUGCUCUUUUAAACCAGAUUGGAGGAAUCAAAAGUUUGGUACAUUUGGCAGCGGGGGGAGAGACCCUAUAAGUCCUUAACAAUGCAAAUAUCCAAACAACAUUGGUUUCUUUUCAUUUUUCUUCAGCUGAACAGAGAACCAGGCACUAUCUAGCAGGGGAAAAACAUUUUAUGUAUCAUUUCUAGACAGACAACUUUCUGAUUUUGUUGAGAGUCUGCAGUUUUUGUGAUUUUGCUUAUUUCACUAGUGUAACAGAAUGCAUCAGAAAGACCAGCUAUGCUCAAAUCCUACUUGCCUCUUAAUGUAUCUAUUUGGAAGUUAGUGUGACUACUCACACGAGCAAGGCAAUCUGCAGGGUUCAGUGCAAGGAGCUGGUUUUAGUAGUGCAGUACAGAAAAAAUUAUUCUAUAUAUUGCAUGUCUGAUAAAGAAAUUCAACUACCAAUAUUAAGUAAAAGGUAGAGACAAGGCAGCAGCUGGUGUAUAUGACCAAUAUAUGAAAGCAAUUUUCAUGAGGACAAGAUAACGACAAAAAAGGAGAGGCGGGUGAAAAGAGGUUUUAUAAGGAAUUGUCGAUUGUCACUGAUUUUAUGUUUGGAGGCGAUGAACCAGACAGUGAAAUUUGCAGUGAGGCAGCCCUAAGGGAUCAUGUACUUCAAUGAUACACCAACAACUACAAAUACUCCAGUGAAGACUAAAUAGCUAUUAGCUGUAGUAAAAGGGGGGGCAUAUAGUGAGCAAGGAUGAAAUGUAACCCAUCAAAUAUCAAGUGCUCGGCAUUGUGUACAGACAAAUGGAAAUGUUCAAACAGAGCUUGGGGGAAGAGGCAUUUCUUUUCCUUUUUCUAACUAAAAAAGAAAAACCUUAUUUAUUAAACUGAUCCAUUGUCUGGUGACCCAGUUCUUCACAGAUUCUAAAUUGUGCCUUCAGACACAUGAACGCAUUUCCCACUAGAGAUAAUGGGGUUUAUCCGUAUGUAUCCGAGGGCACAGUCUCGUCCAGAAUUUGGAUUAAAGUGCUAGAAGUAAAAUUGCAGACAGGGACCCUUUCAGGAAAUUUAUAAAGCAUGUAAGCAGUACCAGGUCAUUCACGAAGACCGGAAAAUAGCAAAAAAUUAACGCACAGGAAAAGGAGCUUUCGGCUUGUCAUCUUCUUAAAUCCAGGCUCUAAUUUAAAAAAAACAAACUGAAGCAUGCUAAUAGUGUCACUGCAAUUAAUGUAACUUCACUGGGACUACCUGUGUUUUUAGUUAGCAGUCUGAUUAAGUAACUUCCUUAAUGGGGGUCUUCAUUUAGAUGAUAAGCCUGAGUGCUGCUACACAAAUUCAAAGCACUUUGAAGGAAAUUUCAAAGUGUGUAGGUUCGGUCGUUAAAAGUUGAUGGGAUGGGACACAAUCUAGAAAACAGUGUCUGAAACAGCUUUUCUAGGUUUUGAUUUUUUUAAGUUAUAGUAAAGUACAGCAAAAUUAGCUUAUAGGAAAAAACGUCACCAGGUAGGGAGAGGGGAAGAAGAGAGCAAGUGCAGAUGGAAAAAGAAAAAUAUGGAGAGUACAUGAGUCAGAUGUCAUCUGACUUGUAUAGAAAAAAAAACCCAUAGGGAGCAGGAUGUGAAAAAGUCAAUAACUCCAAGAUUUGAAAUAAAGGAUUAUAAUAUAAGCAGUCAGAACAGGAAAGUAGGUGGGCAGUGGAUGAAAGCUGUGCCCAGGAAGGGAGAAUAUAAAAAAAACAACAACCAGAGAACAGUCACCGCACAGAGUAGUAGAAAUUAAAGUAACUAAAAAUACAACUGCAAGACUAUUUAAAUAAAAAGAAAAAUAUUUGACCAUUCUGUCAUUGCUGCUGAUGGGGAGAGAGACGGCAGCUGGGAUUUGGUAAAUAAAUUGGGCCUGAGCUCUGUAUCAGUGGUUGUAUCCUUUCUAGAGGGCAUGGAGAGGGGAGACCAGGAAAAUGGGAAACGGGUGAGGGAUGUUUUGAAUUUCUGCCACUUCUCACAGCUAAAAUACUGCCCUGUUUAAAAUCCUUUCUUGUCCUUUAUGAAUGUUACUAUCCACUGAAUUGUGGGCCCACUCAUGGGUCUUACCAACGUUUUAGGCCAAAUUCAGAUCCACCCAUGUAUCCUCACAUAAAACUCUUAAGCUCUCAUGCCAUCCGGGUGAAGGGUUGUUUGUUUGGGUUUUUUACUUGCUUAUUUUUUAAGGCAACUUGUGACCUGUGUAUUUUGUAGCGUGGAUGUUAGAGCUUAGGCAGGCAGCUUCAUUGCCAUCUCACAGUGGUCUGGGCUUGUAUGUUCCAUCCCUUCUACCUGCUUGCUUCCCAUUUGCCUUCUCUGCAUCAGACGGUAGGUAGUUUGCCGGUCAGCUUUAACUCUUUGUGUCAUUCUGAGUGCUCCAUUUUCAUUCAGCCUAGAGCUGCUAGCUGGUUGACCUAUCAUGUGACUGCAGCAGGGUUCAUGAUUUUGGGAGAAGCACCCCAAAUCUGCACUGGUGUGAAAGUGUCUUGCAGAGGCUUGGGGACCAAACAGACAACUGCCUAGUGCAGGUAGUGCCUACAGGGCGCCUUCUGCAAGGCAGAGGAGAGCACUCAUACAUCUGGCAGCACCCUGUGCACCUGCCUCUACUACAAGUGGCUUCUGGAAGUUUGCCACCACCUUGCAGGCAGAACUCUCAGUCCUGCGUGACAGACUGAACUACAAUGAUAGACUGAUCAAAGGCAAAAGAGAUGGAGGGGUUGGAAUCACGAGAGCAGAUCACAGUGCUGGAACAGGCCCUGGAGCAGGCGGCAUGGGCGUAUUCCAGCAAUCUCUUCAGGGCUGGACUGGAAAAGAAGCAGCUCUACAGCCAAUGCUGCGGCCAGGUAAGUAGGCAGGAUUUUCAGGUCAUUUUAAUAACGUAGUUAUUAUGAAGGCUGUUACCUGCAGUGAAAUGGCUUGAGCUUCCUUUGAAGGCAGAAGUUAAUGCCAUCUUCCCUCCCCAGUCUCCUCCCUGACACACACCUUUUCUUUCACUGCUGUGUGUGACCAAGAAUAGGUUCCAACAUGGGGAAACUUAAACAUGUAAGUAGUGAGUCAUUCUUACACAUUUGCAGUGAUUAGUAACGAAUUCUUUACAAGGUUAGCAAAUAUGAGUGCAUAUUUCAGCAUAUGGUGAGCUCUUUCUAAUGUUGGCAGGCUGAUACAGACUUAUACCAUUACUGGUAUUAAAAUGUUUCCCAGACAGCCUGGAUUCUAAGCCUCAGUGUCUGUAUUAAGUGGGAAAAAUCCCUAAUAUAUGGCAGUACAUAGCCUUCUGGUCCUGUUUAUUCAUGACAUGUUAUUCAGGUGGAUGAGGGCAAGCAGAACAAUAGUUCUACUGUUAGCAAACCUCUUCCUAGUUCUGAGUCCUGUUAAUGUUACCUCGCACUUUCUCCUGUUCCUGCUCAGUGCUGCUUGACUACAGAUUCUCAUGUAGGAGAAAUCGGUGACACUACUGGGCAGCACUGACUUUCAAGCUGUCACCCCUGUAGUUUACAAGACCUCUCUAUGCUUUGAUACCCUGUGUACAUAGAUGGCCUGUCCAGCAGUAACAGUCUCUAAGGCGUCCCUGAUCUGAAAUUGUUCGAGUUAGGACUAAUUGCAUUGAGCCCUUCCCUCGCCCCUCCCCCAAACUAGGUCUGAAAGUAGGUUGUUCGGUUUAAAUAUACAAUGUUUACCAUGAGGUGUUAUCAGCCUGUGAGCUGGCAACAUGGCUGGUAGAGGCUCUUGAACAGGCAUGUAUAUAAAAGUAGAAUAAAGGUAUACUAAAGCAAUGAUGUUAUCAAGCUGUGGCAUUAACAUAAUGCAGACUGUAAAAUGAGGGAUUUCUUCUUUCUUUCUGUGGGUGAAAAAUAUGUUCUUUUAUUUCUAUGGCAGAACCUUCCAACUCCUGUGACAAGACAACCUCUCAGGACUCUUGGUGAGAAAAUUGGAACCGUUGAGGUAAAAGGAUGAUGUUCAGGGAUGAGUUGCUAUGUGAAAUGCAUAGCAACUUUGGUCAGAACACCCAGACUGCCAGGACAGGAAGGAUGUUAAAUGCUGAAAGGGAGGAGAUGAUUAUCAAGUAGUAUCUUGAGCACAGCUAAGUUGGGGAGGAAGCAAAACUGAGAGCACUUUGAAUAACUGCUCAUCCUGAUGCCCACCAGACUGCAGUGUUCAGUUCCAGCAUUUGCAGCCUCUCCUCCGCACCAUCAUGUCCUGCAGCCAUUGUGUACAUUAGGGGAUGGGUGGAUUGUGAAUCACUCUAUGAACUAGAAUAGGCAGAUCUUUCCCAUGUAUUCUACCCUGUGCAUCCCAUACAGCUGGAAAUAAAGACAGCCAGCACAUUUC